rnacentral:rRNA from 1 species
CUUGCUCUCGGGUGACGAGUGGCGGACGGGUGAGUAAUGUCUGGGAAACUGCCUGAUGGAGGGGGAUAACUACUGGAAACGGUAGCUAAUACCGCAUAACGUCGCAAGACCAAAGAGGGGGACCUUCGGGCCUCUUGCCAUCAGAUGUGCCCAGAUGGGAUUAGCUAGUAGGUGGGGUAACGGCUCACCUAGGCGACGAUCCCUAGCUGGUCUGAGAGGAUGACCAGCCACACUGGAACUGAGACACGGUCCAGACUCCUACGGGAGGCAGCAGUGGGGAAUAUUGCACAAUGGGCGCAAGCCUGAUGCAGCCAUGCCGCGUGUAUGAAGAAGGCCUUCGGGUUGUAAAGUACUUUCAGCGGGGAGGAAGGUGAUGAGGUUAAUAACCUCGUCAAUUGACGUUACCCGCAGAAGAAGCACCGGCUAACUCCGUGCCAGCAGCCGCGGUAAUACGGAGGGUGCAAGCGUUAAUCGGAAUUACUGGGCGUAAAGCGCACGCAGGCGGUCUGUCAAGUCGGAUGUGAAAUCCCCGGGCUCAACCUGGGAACUGCAUUCGAAACUGGCAGGCUAGAGUCUUGUAGAGGGGGGUAGAAUUCCAGGUGUAGCGGUGAAAUGCGUAGAGAUCUGGAGGAAUACCGGUGGCGAAGGCGGCCCCCUGGACAAAGACUGACGCUCAGGUGCGAAAGCGUGGGGAGCAAACAGGAUUAGAUACCUGGUAGUCCACGCCGUAAACGAUGUCGACUUGGAGGUUGUGCCCUUGAGGCGUGGCUUCCGGAGCUAACGCGUUAAGUCGACCGCCUGGGGAGUACGGCCGCAAGGUUAAAACUCAAAUGAAUUGACGGGGGCCCGCACAAGCGGUGGAGCAUGUGGUUUAAUUCGAUGCAACGCGAAGAACCUUACCUACUCUUGACAUCCAGAGAACUUAGCAGAGAUGCUUUGGUGCCUUCGGGAACUCUGAGACAGGUGCUGCAUGGCUGUCGUCAGCUCGUGUUGUGAAAUGUUGGGUUAAGUCCCGCAACGAGCGCAACCCUUAUCCUUUGUUGCCAGCGGUUCGGCCGGGAACUCAAAGGAGACUGCCAGUGAUAAACUGGAGGAAGGUGGGGAUGACGUCAAGUCAUCAUGGCCCUUACGAGUAGGGCUACACACGUGCUACAAUGGCGCAUACAAAGAGAAGCGACCUCGCGAGAGCAAGCGGACCUCAUAAAGUGCGUCGUAGUCCGGAUUGGAGUCUGCAACUCGACUCCAUGAAGUCGGAAUCGCUAGUAAUCGUGGAUCAGAAUGCCACGGUGAAUACGUUCCCGGGCCUUGUACACACCGCCCGUCACACCAUGGGAGUGGGUUGCAAAAGAAGUAGGUAGCUUAACCUUCG